rnacentral:rRNA from 1 species
UACGUAGGGUGCGAGCGUUGUCCGGAAUUAUUAGGCGUAAAGAGCUUGUAGGCGGUUUGUCGCGUCUGCUGUGAAAAUCCGGGGCUCAACCCCGGACUUGCAGUGGGUACGGGCAGACUAGAGUGUGGUAGGGGAGACUGGAAUUCCUGGUGUAGCGGUGGAAUGCGCAGAUAUCAGGAGGAACACCGAUGGCGAAGGCAGAUCUCUGGGCCGUAACUGACGCUGAGGAGCGAAAGCAUGGGGAGCGAACAGG